UUAGAUGUCGCUGUAGAUUUAGCAGUACAUUACUGUAAAAAUCCACAGUACUAUACUGUAUGUAUACAUUACAGUACAGUACUGCAGUUCAUAAUGCAUUCUGGGUAAAUUUGUUUGAGCGGGAAAAUUUUACAGUAUAUUUUGGUCUUGAUGUAACCUUGCUGUAGCCAUUGCUGUAAUGUGCCAGGUGUACUUGCAAUAAUCAGAGAAAGUGCGCCAGAGUCAAAUCACACAGAGGGAGAGAGAGCACAACUCCUGGCUGCAGCUGAAGGAGGAUGAUUGAUUUCUGGCAGUUCGUCUUACCAUUGCUUGUAAACUGGAUUGGGUAAGAUGGAUCAUCUUUAAAGGCACCAGGAGUUAAGGCAGAUGUGGAGGCACAACGGGUGAUACCAGACACACACCAAGCACAUUAUGUUCGGACAUUCAAUCAUGACAGGAUCCAGGUGGAUGCUGUCCAUUGAUGAAAGAGUUUGUUCAGCGGUUUCUGGAUAGAAUUAAUUCCAAAGAUGGGAAAAAGUGCACAUCCAGACAAGGAGCAAGCAAAAAGACAAGGAACUUGGUGCAGAGAAAAGCUGUGGCCAUUAACCCCCAUGUGAACAGCUUCAUGCAGUCCCUGAUUGAGUUCGAAUGGACGACUUCAAAGUAAAGGCCACUGUGGUCUGUCUGCCACAGUUUAAUGCAUUUAUUUUUAGUGUUAAAUGAAAUUUAAGUAGAAUAUUUAAAACUAUGGGCCAGUGUUCUUUUUACCACAGUGAAAUGUUACCUUUUAGUCGAUGAUGGACUUUAAACUGAAAACUUCAAACUAUGGACCAGUGUUCUAUUUGCCAGAGUUAAAUAUGUUACAGCAGGGGUCUCCAAACUUGUUUAUACUUGUUGAUUUUAUUUUAUGUUACUUGAUUAUAUGUUUAUUAUUGUUUAAAAUCUUGUUUUAAAUAUGUUUGUUUCAAUUAAAUGUUUUUUUAAAUAAAAUUUUGAUACAUA